AUUGAACGCUGGCGGCAGGCCUAACACAUGCAAGUCGAGCGGGGUUUUCGGACCUAGCGGCGGACGGGUGAGUAAUGCGUAGGAAGCUACCCGAUAGAGGGGGAUACCAGUUGGAAACGACUGUUAAUACCGCAUAAUGUCUACGGACCAAAGUGUGGGACCUUCGGGCCACAUGCUAUCGGAUGCGCCUACGUGGGAUUAGCUAGUUGGUGAGGUAAUGGCUCACCAAGGCGACGAUCCCUAGCUGGGUUGAGAGGAUGAUCAGUCACACUGGAACUGAGACACGGUCCAGACUCCUACGGGAGGCAGCAGUGGGGAAUAUUGGACAAUGGGCGCAAGCCUGAUCCAGCCAUGCCGCGUGUGUGAAGAAGGCCUUCGGGUUGUAAAGCACUUUCAGUAGGGAGGAAGCGUUGUGUGUUAAUAGUACACAGCGUUGACGUUACCUACAGAAGAAGCACCGGCUAACUCUGUGCCAGCAGCCGCGGUAACAC
rnacentral:rRNA from 1 species